rnacentral:rRNA from 1 species
GGUUGCAAUCAUACCAGCACUAAUGCAUCGGAGCCCAUCAGAACUCCGCAGUUAAGCUUGCUUGGGCGAGAGUAGUACUAGGAUGGGUGACCCCUAGGAAGUCCUCAUGUUGCAAACC